rfam:Chloroflexi bacterium RBG_16_56_11 RBG_16_scaffold_1244, whole genome shotgun sequence.
GUUAACUGAAUAUUGAAUCCCGAGACAGCGGGCGUCCCGGUCUUACCGGGACUUAAUCAGUGCCUGCCGAGGAUGAAAUGAAUACCUAAUCGUUCAUGGUAUUGGUCAAGUCCUCGUGCGGCAGGCGCGGGGACUUUUGUUUUAAGGUC